UCCAGCCAUACCGCGUGGGUGAAGAAGGCCUUCGGGUUGUAAAGCCCUUUUGUUGGGAAAGAAAUCCAGCUGGUUAAUACCCGGUUGGGAUGACGGUACCCAAAGAAUAAGCACCGGCUAACUUCGUGCCAGCAGCCGCGGUAAUACCAAAGGUGCAAGCGUUACUCGGAAUUACUGGGCGUAAAGCGUGCGUAGGUGGUCGUUUAAGUCCGUUGUGAAAGCCCUGGGCUCAACCUGGGAACUGCAGUGGAUACUGGGCGACUAGGGUGUGGUAAAGGGUAGCGGAAUUCCUGGUGUAGCAGUGAAAUGCGUAAAGAUCAGGAGGAACAUCCAUGGCGAAGGCAGCUACCUGGACCAACACUGACACUGAGGCACGAAAGCGUGGGGAGCAAACAGGAUUAGAUACCCUGGUAGUCCACGCCCUAAACGAUUCGAACUGGAUGGUGGGUGCAAUUUGGCACGCAAUAUCGAAGCUUACGCGUUAAGUUCGCCGCCUGGGGAGUACGGUCGCAAGACUGAAACUCAGAGGAAUUGACGGGGGCCCGCACAAGCGGUGGAGUAUGUGGUUUUAUUCGAUGCAACGCGUAGAAACUUACCUGGCCUUGACAUGUCGAGAACUUUCCAGAGAUGGAUUGGUGCCUUCGGGAACUCGAACACAGGUGCUGCAUGCUUCUGGUAACC
rnacentral:rRNA from 1 species